GACGAACGCUGGCGGCGCGCCUAACACAUGCAAGUCGAACGGAGCUGAGAGAAGCUUGCUUUUCUUAGCUUAGUGGCGAACGGGUGAGUAACGCGUGAGUAACCUGCCCUGGAGUGGGGGACAACAGUUGGAAACGACUGCUAAUACCGCAUAAGCCCACGAUCCGGCAUCGGAUUGAGGGAAAAGGAUUUAUUCGCUUCAGGAUGGACUCGCGUCCAAUUAGCUAGUUGGUGAGGUAACGGCCCACCAAGGCGACGAUUGGUAGCCGGACUGAGAGGUUGAACGGCCACAUUGGGACUGAGACACGGCCCAGACUCCUACGGGAGGCAGCAGUGGGGGAUAUUGCACAAUGGGGGAAACCCUGAUGCAGCGACGCCGCGUGGAGGAAGAAGGUUUUCGGAUUGUAAACUCCUGUCGUUAGGGACGAUAAUGACGGUACCUAACAAGAAAGCGCCGGCUAACUACGUG
rnacentral:rRNA from 1 species